rnacentral:rRNA from 1 species
CCUACGGGUGGCAGCAGUGAGGAAUAUUGGUCAAUGGACGAGAGUCUGAACCAGCCAAGUCGCGUGAAGGAUGACUGCCCUAUGGGUUGUAAACUUCUUUUAUAUGGGAGUAAAAUGUUCCACGUGUGGGCUUUUGUAUGUACCAUAUGAAUAAGGAUCGGCUAACUCCGUGCCAGCAGCCGCGGUAAUACGGAGGAUCCGAGCGUUAUCCGGAUUUAUUGGGUUUAAAGGGAGCGUAGGUGGAUUGUUAAGUCAGUUGUGAAAGUUUGCGGCUCAACCGUAAAAUUGCAGUUGAAACUGGCAGUCUUGAGUACAGUAGAGGUGGGCGGAAUUCGUGGUGUAGCGGUGAAAUGCUUAGAUAUCACGAAGAACUCCGAUUGCGAAGGCAGCUCACUGGACUGCAACUGACACUGAGGCUCGAAAGUGUGGGUAUCAAACAGGAUUAGAUACCCUGGUAGUC